AGGUGCACACGAGGAUCUUGUUGAAAUGCAGAGUCUGAGUUGGUAGGGUUGGGGCAGUCCCUGAGAUUCUGCAUUUUUCAAACGUUUCUAGGUGAGGCUAAU
rnacentral:miRNA from 1 species